rnacentral:RNase_P_RNA from 1 species
CGAGUUAACGAGACAAUCGCUGUUUUGUCGUUAUACCUUAAGCGUAAGUUAAAGGUAGACAGAUAAAAGGGAGGAAAGUCCGGGCUCCAGAGAGCAGAGUGCCAGAUAACAUCUGGGCGGUGUAAGCCGACGACAAGUGCAGCAGAGAGAAAACCGCCGAUGGCCGUUCUUUUUAUUAAGAGCGGAACAGGUAAGGGUGAAAGGGUGCGGUAAGAGCGCACCGGAUUGCUGGUAACAGUAAUUGCAGGGUAAACUCCACUCGGAGCAAGACCAAAUAGGGUUCCA